UACGUAGGGUGCGAGCGUUGUCCGGAAUUAUUGGGCGUAAAGAGCUCGUAGGCGGUGUGUCACGUCGGCCGUGAAAACCUGCAGCUUAACUGUGGGCGUGCGGUCGAUACGGGCAUCACUGGAGUUCGGCAGGGGAGACUGGAAUUCCUGGUGUAGCGGUGAAAUGCGCAGAUAUCAGGAGGAACACCGGUGGCGAAGGCGGAUCUCUGGGCCUUACCUGACGCUCAGGUGCGAAAGCUAGGGGAGCGAACAGG
rnacentral:rRNA from 1 species